GGGGAAUAUUGGACACUGGGCGGAAGCCUGAUCCAGCAACGCCGCGUGAGGGAUGACGGCCUUCGGGUUGUAAACCUCUUUCAGCACAGACGAAGCGCAAGUGACGGUAUGUGCAGAAGAAGGACCGGCCAACUACGUGCCAGCAGCCGCGGUAAUACGUAGGGUCCGAGCGUUGUCCGGAAUUAUUGGGCGUAAAGGGCUCGUAGGCGGUUUGUCGCGUCGGGAGUGAAAACACCGGGCUUAACUCGGUGAUUGCUUUCGAUACGGGCAGACUAGAGGUAUUCAGGGGAGAGCGGAAUUCCUGGUGUAGCGGUGAAAUGCGCAGAUAUCAGGAGGAACACCGGUGGCGAAGGCGGUUCUCUGGGAAUAUCCUGACGCUGAGGAGCGAAAGUGUGGGGAGCGAAC
rnacentral:rRNA from 1 species